AAUAAUGUGUGAAAGUACACGAGCGGCGAACGGCUGAGUAACGCGUAGGAAUGUACCCCAAAGUGAGGAAUAAGCACCGGAAACGGUGUCUAAUGCCGCAUGUGGUCUAAGGACUAAAGCCUUCGGGCGCUUUGGGAGCAGCCUGCGUAAGAUUAGUUUGUUGGUGAGGUAAUGGCUCACCAAGACUACGAUCUUUAGCUGGUCUGAGAGGAUGAUCAGCCAGACUGGAACUGAGACACGGUCCAGACUCC
rnacentral:rRNA from 1 species